AUGAUACGCGAAGAACCUUUACCAGGUCUUGACAUCCCUUGCAAAGCUAUGGAGACAUAGUGGAGGUUAUCAAGGAGACAGGUGGUGCAUGGUUGUCGUCAGCUCGUGUCGUGAGAUGUUGGGUUAAGUCCCGCAACGAGCGCAACCCUUAUUGCUAGUUACCAUCAUUAAGUUGGGGACUCUAGCGAGACUGCCAGUGAUAAACUGGAGGAAGUGGGGAUGACGUCAAAUCAUCAUGCCCCUUAUGACCUGGGCUACAAACGUGAUACAAUGGCUGAAACAAAGGGCAGCGAAGCAGUGAUGUGGAGCGAAACCCAAAAAAGCAGUCUCAGUUCGGAUUGAAGUCUGCAACUCGACUUCAUGAAGUUGGAAUCGCUAGUAAUCGUAGAUCAGAACGCUACGGUGAAUACGUUCUCGGGGUUU
rnacentral:rRNA from 1 species